rnacentral:rRNA from 1 species
AUGUCUUCGACCUCGUUGGGCUAUGUCGCCAUUCCACGCUGCCCGGUAAUUUUUGAUGGGGCUAACUAUGCCGAGUUUGCUGCUUUUAUGCGUAUUCACAUGCGUGACCUCCGUCUCUCGGGAGUUCUUUCCGGCGAGGUUCCUUGUCCUCAGCGCCCGGUUCCUCCUGUGGCUCCUAUCCUACCGCCGCGUCCACCGGAUCUUGCCGCAAAUGCUUCUGAUGAUGAUAGGGCUGCAACCCGAGUUGCUGCUGAUGAUGCGGUUGCUGCUUAUGACCAGCAGGUCGUGGUUUAUUUGGAUGCUCUUUCCGUUUAUCGUGAUGAUCUGGCUGCUUAG